AGAGGGGUGCAAGCGUUAAUCGGAAUUACUGGGCGUAAAGAGCGCGUAGGUGGUUAUUUAAGGUUGGAUGUGAAAUCCCUGGGGCUUUAACCUGGGGGCUGUCAUUCAAGACUGGAUGACUAGAGUGCAGUAGAGGGAAGUGGAAUUUCCGGUGUAGCGGUGAAAUGCGUAGAUAUCAGAAGGAACAUCAGUGGCGAAGGCGACUUCCUGGACUGAUACUGACACUGAGGCGCGAAAGCGUGGGGAGCAAACAGGAUUAGAUACCCUGGUAGUCCACGCCGUAAACGAUGAGAACUAGCUGUUUGACAGUUAAACUGUUGAGUGGCGCAGCUAACGCGUUAAGUUCUCCGCCUGGGGAGUACGGCCGCAAGGUUA
rnacentral:rRNA from 1 species